GACCUUGUGGGCAGCCCACAAGGCAGUAAUCAGAGGAGUCCUGUUAAAUCAAGCAACUAUCCACAAAAAAAACAGGUAGCCCACUUAGAACAAACUCUCACGACUCUCAGAACCCUUGAAGCAGAAUUGCAUCACCUAUUAACCCAACGCAAGAAUUAAACGAACAAAUUAAAAAAUGUCAAACAGAUAUCAAGGCAUACAUGACGAAAGACUCAAUGAAAGCCC